UACGUAAAACGCGAACGUUAUCCGGAAUUAUUAAACGUAAAGAGCUCGUAGGCGGCUUGUCACGUCGGCUGUGAAAGCCCGGGGCUUAACCCCGGGUCUGCAGUCGAUACGGGCAGGCUAGAGUUCGGUAGGGGAGAUCGGAAUUCCUGGUGUAGCGGUGAAAUGCGCAGAUAUCAGGAGGAACACCGGUGGCGAAGGCGGAUCUCUGGGCCGAUACUGACGCUGAGGAGCGAAAGCGUGGGGAGCGAAC
rnacentral:rRNA from 1 species